GUAUGGGACAGUGUGGCUGGGACAGAUGUCACCACACUGGUGGCCAGGUCGAUUCGGCUGAUCUGGCUGGCUGGGUGGUGUCCCCUCACCACUGCACAUGCAGCUCCUGAAGCUGCAGGCUCGGUUGAAGAGGGCAACCUUGCCCAGGAGAGGAGGAUCUUGUUCCCCUGCUACACUAGAGCCUCAGAUAAGGCCGUGCCAUGGUCGGUCAGGUCCAUGUGUGCGAUGCUCACAGUCUUU
rnacentral:sRNA from 1 species